rnacentral:rRNA from 1 species
CCUACGGGAGGCUGCAGUGAGGAAUAUUGGACAAUGGGCGGGAGCCUGAACCAGCGAAGUCGCGUGAGGGAAGACGGUCCUAUGGAUUGUAAACCUCUUUAGGCGGGGAGCACUUCCGCGCACGUGUGCCCUGACGGACAGUACCCGCAGUAUAAGCCUCGGCUAACUCCGUGCCAGCAGCCGCGGUAAUACGGAGGAUGCGAGCGUUAUCCGGAUUUAUUGGGUUAAAGGGGUGCGUAGGCGGAGUUUUAAGUCAGCGGUAAAAUGUCCGGGCUCAACCCGGGCCGGCCGUUGAAACUGGGGAUCUUGAGUGGGCGAGAGGUAAGCGGAAUGCGUGGUGUAGCGGUGAAAUGCAUAGAUAUCACGCAGAACACCGAUUGCGAAGGCAGCAUACCGGGGCCAGACUGACGCUGAGGCACGAAAGCGUGGGGAGCGAACAGGAUUAGAUACCCGAGUAGUC